ACUCCUACGGGAGGCAGCAGUGAGGAAUAUUGGUCAAUGGAGGGAACUCUGAACCAGCCAUCCCGCGUGUAGGAAGACGGCCUUAUGGGUUGUAAACUACUUUUAUACGGGAAUAAACCUCUCUACGUGUAGAGAGCUGAAGGUACCGUAAGAAUAAGGACCGGCUAACUCCGUGCCAGCAGCCGCGGUAAUACGGAGGGUCCAAGCGUUAUCCGGAUUUAUUGGGUUUAAAGGGUCCGCAGGCGGGAUAUUAAGUCAGUGGUGAAAGCCUACAGCUUAACUGUAGCACUGCCAUUGAUACUGGUAUUCUUGAGUGUGGUUGAAGUGGGCGGAAUAUGUCAUGUAGCGGUGAAAUGCAUAGAUAUGACAUAGAACACCUAUUGCGAAGGCAGCUCACUAAGCCAUUACUGACGCUCAGGGGACGAAAGCGUGGGUAGCAAACAGGAUUAGAUACCCUGGUAGGCUCUG
rnacentral:rRNA from 1 species